UACGGGGGGGGCAAGCGUUGUUCGGAAUUACUGGGCGUAAAGGGCUCGUAGGCGGCCAACUAAGUCAGACGUGAAAUCCCUCGGCUUAACCGGGGAACUGCAUCUGAUACUGGAUGGCUUGAGUUCGGGAGAGGGAUGCGGAAUUCCAGGUGUAGCGGUGAAAUGCGUAGAUAUCUGGAGGAACACCGGUGGCGAAGGCGGCAUCCUGGACCGACACUGACGCUGAGGAGCGAAAGCAUGGGUAGCGAACAGG
rnacentral:rRNA from 1 species